rnacentral:rRNA from 1 species
GUGGGGUAUAUUGGGCAAUGGGCGAAAGCCUGACCCAGCAACGCCGCGUGAAGGAAGAAGGCCCUCGGGUUGUAAACUUCUUUUAAGAGGGACGAAAGAAAUGACGGUACCUCUUGAAUAAGCCACGGCUAACUACGUGCCAGCAGCCGCGGUAAUACGUAGGUGGCGAGCGUUAUCCGGAUUUACUGGGUGUAAAGGGCGUGUAGGCGGGAGUGCAAGUCAGAUGUGAAAAUUAUGGGCUCAACCCAUAACCUGCAUUUGAAACUGUUCUUCGUGAGUGAUGGAGAGGCAGGCGGAAUUCCGUGUGUAGCGGUGAAAUGCGUAGAUAUACGGAGGAACACCAGUGGCGAAGGCGGCCUGCUGGACAUUAACUGACGCUGAGGCGCGAAAGCGUGGGGAGCAAACAGGAUUAGAUACCCCUGUAGUCC